GUUCAGCUGCUUGUGCAUGAUUGAUAUUCUUCUGCAGAAGAAGUAAAUCAGGUAACAUGCUAGGAAAUGAAUUUAUCUCAAUAGUAUGAAAAAAAAAAAAAUCAGAAGUUUCUGCUUUUGUGAUAAUUACUUUUUUACAUAUGGAAGUGACUGCGAUACGUUUUGGUUGUUUUUUUACAUGCAUGUAUGUUUCAGAGAAAAAAAAAAUAUUUCAAACAUUUUUUUAGCUGCCUCCGACAUAUGGUCUGCUCUAUAUCUGUUUUUGAAGCUGAGCUCAGGAAGCUUCUCCAUACACACACACACACACACACACACACACACAGAGCAGAUUGAGAUGAGCAACCUGAGUUAGUCACUAUGAAAUGAUACACCUGCUUCAGCACACGUUGAUUGUCAAUUGAGAGUUAUAAAGUGGCACUCAAAGUUAAAUUCAUGAAUGAAUCCACUUUUUAAUUUGCAUUAGUUGAAUGAACAGACUGGUUUACUGAUGACUCAAGACAGUUCCUUGUCACCACCUACUGGUGCAAAAAUUUAACUACAUUGACUGACAGCCUGUCUAGCACACAAAGUAUGGAGGUAAAUCAGUAGCAAAACUUGAGAGGUUGUUGAUCUGAAUGUGAGAACUUGUUCUAGUAACAUUCGUAUUUAUAAGUUGAAAUUUAAACUCAGCUCUGAUGUGAAAACCUGAAACACAAAUGUGUAGAAUGACAUACACAUAAAGAGAAUGACAUACACAAAUGUUUACAACAUAUUUACUUUUGCACUUCAGUUUUGCUGCACAACAUCAAGUCGGCACUUACAAACUCUCAGAUCUGGCAGUACAAGUUCUGACUUUUGCUACUUCUUUUGCAGUAUUCCUGUUGCAAAACACACUUGUGCACUUGUUUAUGUAGACAUGAGAGAGCAGAGCCAGGGGCAGGGAUUUGGUGCAAUGAACAAUGCCAGCCAUCACGACUUGCCAAGAAAGAAAUUUGUGGUUUAUGCUUUAUGCAUGUGAGACAGGGGCAGCUGCAGCCUGGAGCAAUGAGCGUGUCAAAAGGUAGGGGCGUGUCAAAAGGUUUCUCAUUGGUGAAAAGAGUUUUACUGUGCUGGCCAAUCAGCAGUUAAUAUACAUUUACGCAAUUUCCUUAGACAAGGUGGCGGCGAUAAGACGUGAGGUAAUUAUUCAUCGUUUAUACGUUUAUCUAUACUUUAUAUACCACAAAUAUGUAUAUUAAGAUAAGUUUGUUACAAUACGAUCAUUAUUUUCCCUUUGCGUUAUAUCUUGCAGCUUUAGUAAUUAGUUUAUUGUUGUUGAAAAACAUAUGUACAGUGAGACAAACGAUGACCGCAUCGACGGCGAAUCCUUCAGAGAUGAUAGUUUAUAUCUGCGUCCUUUUUGUACAAGAGAGUACAGAAUACAUCCUGUGUGCAACUAAUGCAGAGUAUAUUCAAGCUGUCAACACACUGGUUGUGAAGAACCCUUUCCAGAGAAAUAUAGAAAGAAAUGAAUGUACCGCACGCCAAGAACAUUCUCCUGGAGAUGUUGAGAAAGCACGGAAGGAAUGUCUGAGGAGGAUGUACUCAAAAAAUACACCUGCUGGAGGGGACCCGGCUACACCUUUCCUACCAUACACCUGAUGGAUACUGACUGUAAAAUGGCAAUCAUAGUGCGAGGGCUCAGUGUGGGGACAGAAGAUGGAACAGAUGUGUGUCAGUGCACCAGCCUUGAUAAAGCCUUCAUAACAGCCUUGUGGAUGUAUUCUGCUUUCAACAUUGCAUAUACACCACACCUGAGAAAGACACUGACUUUCCUUCAGAGGGACAUUGUCAACAUUAGAAGAUGGAGACAAGCACUGUCAGUAAUUUUACUCUGAAUGAUUAGCCUCUGGUAUUACAUCCUCAUGCCUUGACUGUACCAUUGCCCAAAGUGCACUCGAAGGACAUUCACUCUUUGGAAGUUAAUCCAACAUGUUGGAGUGGUACAUGCACUGUUAAGCUAACUGAGACUUGUUAUAGCUCAUAUAUAAUUGCUCUUUUUGUUGUAUUUGAUUGCUUCAACUCUGUCCUCGAUUGUAAGUCGAUUUGAAUAAAAGCGUCUGCUAAAUGAAUAAAUGUAAAUGUAAAUAUUAGUAUAAGCUGUUGUAUAGAUGAAUGCCAGUCAACUUUUUUCUGAUUCCAUUCUUUUAGAAACCAUGCACAGGAAGCAUAUGUACUUUUGUUACUCAGUGAAGAGUCAGUAGUACAGUUGUAUAAUAAUAUAAUGGAGAAGGGUCUGGCUGCAGACGUGGACUCUCAGACACUUGCACUUCUGUUAGUGACAACACAUGCAGUCUUUUUUAUUUUAUAUUUUAUUCUACUUAUAUCUUUUUACUUGAAUUGGUGACUGAA